AAGUUCCAUUUUUUUUUCCUUUUUCCUUCUUCAAUUUGCAGAGAACUUCUAAGAGAGAGUUUGGAAGAAGAAGAGAAAUUUUACUAGAAUUUUUAGGUUGAAGAAGAGGAGGAGAACUCAAGCAAAGUGUAUCAAUGGCUGAAUUUUAGUUCAUUCUGCACAUCACUGGUAUUUAAUUCGGUUUGAACUCUUCAAAAGGAAUUAAGAGGGCAGUUGGUCUUCACUCGAAAUCAGGAGGUCUCUGGUUUUUCUUGUAUUUCAGAGUGUAUCGGUGGAGUUAGAAUCUCUAUUUGGGACAAGUUAAAGAGGUCGUGUGCGCGCGUUUCUGGAAGUGGUUCUGUUUUGAGGGUUAUAUGUGUUUAUGCACGGGGAAUCAGAUUUAUAUGUCUUCAGGCCGAGAAGAAUUAAACCGAGCUUAUAGACCAAGGAUCUAGCCCAAGACUGUAAAGAUCGACUUCCCGGUGCCUGAUAGACUGCCUUAGUCUGCGGAAGCUUCAUUAUCGAUUGCCAGUACGUGUUUUGAGUUGGGCAUAGAGUCUGUUGUGUUGUGGUGUAUAUACACCCUUGUAUGUUAUAGAUACUCCACAGUUUGUAUAAGCUUUAGGAGCUGUAGUUGUGUAAAUUUUGUUGGUUAUAUUUUGAUUAAGGUGUCUUUAGGUUUACUCGUGAAAUCGGUAAAUUUUGAGGUACACUUCAUGUAUGUGUUUGACUAGCUGUGUUUGACUAGCCUAGGAUCCGCUGUGUUUUGUGGCAUGUACAAUAGUUUAUAUACUAGAUUGGCAAGUUCAUCA